rnacentral:rRNA from 1 species
GAUGAACGCUAGCGAUAGGCCUAACACAUGCAAGUCGAGGGGCAGCAUAGAGUAGCAAUACUUUGAUGGCGACCGGCGCACGGGUGAGUAACACGUAUGUAACCUACCUACAUCAGGGGAAUAACCCGGAGAAAUUCGGACUAAUACCGCAUAAUACAGGGAUGCCGCAUGGCAAUAUUUGUUAAAGAUUUAUCGGAUGUAGAUGGGCAUGCGUUCCAUUAGCUGGUUGGUAAGGUAACGGCUUACCAAGGCAACGAUGGAUAGGGGAACUGCGAGGUGUGUCCCCCACACUGGAACUGAGACACGGACCAGACUCCUACGGGAGGCAGCAAUGAGGAAUAGUGGUCAAUGGACGAGAGUCUGAACCAGCCAAAUCGCGUGAAGGAAGACUGCCCUACGGGUUGUAAACUUCUUUUGUACAGGAAUAAAAGACAUUACGUGUAAUGUAUUGCAUGUACUGUACGAAUAAGCAUCGGCUAACUCCGUGCCAGCCGCCGCCGUAA